rnacentral:sRNA from 1 species
GCCAGGCAUGGUGGCACAUGUCUGUAAUCCCAGCUGCUCAGGAGGCUGAGGCAGGAGAAUCACAAGUUCAAAGGCUAGCCUCAGCAAUUUAGUGAGGCCCUAAGUAACUUAGCAAGACCCUGUCUCAA